CCGGAAUUGUGUUAGACAGUCCAAGUUCAUAACAGGAGAGACAGGCCAGAGUCCAAUGGAUGAGGCAAAAGCAAAUCCAGUAUACAGGCAGGGAUCAGCAGACAGGCAGGCUUAGCAGACACACUUCAGGUCAGACAACAGAGACCUAACAAUGCAGUAUGAACAACCAGAAUGCAACCUUACUGAGGCUUCAGGCAACAGGUUUGCCCUAUUACACUUUUCCCUGCACGCAGCCACUUCAGUAGGGGCAGCAUUUGAAUAAUAACAAUCAGUCGUCCAAAUAGGUGCCUCGCCCUUUAACCUUGAGAAACACCAUUGAAGUCCUGAAUUUCCUCUACUACAUCGGUCAUUGAGACAAAUCUCAUUUUAUACCUUUUUAUCUAACUCUCAAUAAAGACAAAAGUACUAUCCCCA